CAAGACGUAGCUAUAGUAAAAGCACCCAGCUUACACCUGGAAGAUAUCUGGCCCCACCAGGUCGUCUUGA
rnacentral:tRNA from 1 species